rnacentral:siRNA from 1 species
AUCGCCACACAAGGUGUCUUGCCA